AAAAAAAAAUGAAAAAA
rnacentral:sRNA from 1 species